rnacentral:rRNA from 1 species
GAUGAACGCUGGCGGCGUGCCUAAUACAUGCAAGUCGAGCGAACGGACGAGAAGCUUGCUUCUCUGAUGUUAGCGGCGGACGGGUGAGUAACACGUGGAUAACCUACCUAUAAGACUGGGAUAACUUCGGGAAACCGGAGCUAAUACCGGAUAAUAUUUUGAACCGCAUGGUUCAAAAGUGAAAGACGGUCUUGCUGUCACUUAUAGAUGGAUCCGCGCUGCAUUAGCUAGUUGGUAAGGUAACGGCUUACCAAGGCAACGAUGCAUAGCCGACCUGAGAGGGUGAUCGGCCACACUGGAACUGAGACACGGUCCAGACUCAUACGGGAGGCAGAAGUAGGGAAUCUUCCGAAAUGGGCGAAAGCCUGAAGGAGCAUCGCAGCAUGAGUGAUGAAGGUCUUCGGAUCGUAAAACUCUGUUAUUAGGGAAGAACAUAUGUGUAAGUAACUGUGCACAUCUUGACGGUACCUAAUCAGAAAGCCACGGCUAACUACGUG